UACGGGGGGGGCAAGCGUUGUUCGGAAUUACUGGGCGCAAAGGGCUCGUAGGCGGCCAACUAAGUCAGACGUGAAAUCCCUCGGCUUAACCGGGGAACUGCAUCUGAUACUGGAUGGCUUGAGUUCGGGAGAGGGAUGCGGAAUUCCAGGUGUAGCGGUGAAAUGCGUAGAUAUCUGGAGGAACACCGGUGGCGAAGGCGGCAUCCUGGACCGACACUGACGCUGAGGAGCGAAAGCCAGGGGAGCAAACGGG
rnacentral:rRNA from 1 species